AAAAAUUUAGUUAAAAAAUAACAUUAAACUGUCAGUUUAAAAAUAUACUAUAUUGUGUAAUUUUUA
rnacentral:tRNA from 1 species